CCUACGGGAGGCAGCAGUGGGGAAUAUUGCACAAUGGGGGAAACCCUGAUGCAGCAACGCCGCGUGAGUGAAGAAGUAUUUCGGUAUGUAAAGCUCUAUCAGCAGGGAAGAAGAAAGACGGUACCUGACUAAGAAGCCCCGGCUAACUACGUGCCAGCAGCCGCGGUAAUACGUAGGGGGCAAGCGGUAUCCGGAUUUACUGGGUGUAAAGGGAGCGUAGACGGCUGUGCAAGUCGGAAGUGAACGCCCGUGGCUCAACCCCGGCCCGCCGUUGAAACUGGCAGUCUCGAGUUGGAGAGAAGUAUGCGGAAUGCGCGGUGUAGCGGUGAAAUGCAUAGAUAUCGCGCAGAACUCCGAUUGCGAAGGCAGCAUGCCGGCUCCACACUGACGCUGAGGCACGAAAGCGUGGGUAUCGAACAGGAUUAGAUACCCCUGUAGUC
rnacentral:rRNA from 1 species